rnacentral:rRNA from 1 species
AUUGAACGCUGGCGGCAGGCCUAACACAUGCAAGUCGAACGAGGCGCGGACGGGUGAGUAAUGUCUAGGAAACUGCCUGAUGGAGGGGGAUAACUACUGGAAACGGUAGCUAAUCCCGCAUACCAUCAGAUGUGCCAAGAUGGGAUUAGCUUGUUGGUGGGGUAACGGCUCACCAAGGCGACGAUCCCUAGCGGGUCUGAGAGGAUGACCAGCCACACUGGAACUGAGACACGGUCCAGACUCCUCCGGGAGGCAGCAGUGGGGAAUAUUGCACAAUGGGCGCAAGCCUGACGCAGCAAUGCCGCGUGUAUGAUGAAGGCCGUCGGGUUGUAAAGUACUUUCAGCGGGGAGGCGUUACCUGCAGAAGAAGCACCGGCUAACUCCGUGCCAGCAGCCGCGGUAAUUC